UACGGAGGUGGCAAGCGUUGCUCGGAAUCACUGGGCGUAAAGGGCGCGUAGGCGGGGAGGUAAGUCGGGUGUGAAAUCCCUCGGCCCAACCGAGGAACUGCGCCCGAGACUGCUUCUCUUGAGUCCCGGAGAGGAAGAUGGAAUUCCCGGUGUAGCGGUGAAAUGUGUAGAGAUCGGGAGGAACACCGGUGGCGAAGGCGGUCUUCUGGACGGUGACUGACACUGAGGCGCGAAAGCGUGGGGAGCAAACAGG
rnacentral:rRNA from 1 species